GACGAACGCUGGCGGCGUGCUUAACACAUGCAAGUCGAACGGAAAGGCUCUGCUUUUGUGGGGUGCUCGAGUGGCGAACGGGUGAGUAACACGUUAGUAACCUGCCCUUGACUUUGGGAUAACUUCAGGAAACUGGGGCUAAUACCGGAUAGGAGCUCCUGCUGCAUGGUGGGGGUUGGAAAGUUUCGGCGGUUGGGGAUGGACUCGCGGCUUAUCAGCUUGUUGGUGGGGUAGUGGCUUACCAAGGCUUUGACGGGUAGCCGGCCUGAGAGGGUGACCGGCCACAUUGGGACUGAGAUACGGCCCAGACUCCUACGGGAGGCAGCAGUGGGGAAUAUUGCACAAGGGGCGGAAGCCUGAUGCAGCAACGCCGCGUGCGGGAUGACGGCCUUCGGGUUGUAAACCGCUUUCGCCUGUGACGAAGCGUGAGUGACGGUAAUGGGUAAAGAAGCACCGGCUAACUACGUG
rnacentral:rRNA from 1 species